UGNGCCUCAACGCUUAGACAGCAUAUUCCA
rnacentral:piRNA from 1 species